AGCAGUGUGAAUACUUAGGACAAUGGACGAAAGUCUGACCGAGCAACGCCGCGUGAGUGAAGAAGGUUUUCGGAUCGUAAAACUCUGUUGUUUGAGAAGAACAAGGAUGAUAGUAACUGUUCAUCCCUUGACGGUAUCUAACCAGAAAGCCACGGCUAACUACGUGCCAGCAGCCGCGGUAAUA
rnacentral:rRNA from 1 species